rnacentral:lncRNA from 1 species
GACAAUGUUUCCUAGGAGGAUCCAGAGGACACCUCUUUCAUGAAAGCAAUGAGGAGUGCAGUGCUAAGGAGCACUCAUUAUUUGAGCACUUUGUGAUAACUGUCUUACAUAGGCUGGGCUUGACAGAAGAUAUUGCCAUGGAAUUGAGAUUCCUAGUAUCAAGGGGAUGACAGGACCUGGAAUGGAAGAGGUCAAAUGGCAGGCCUGUUAGAGUGAUGUGGACAUAGCUGCUAUGACAGCUACUGCAAGGCUAGAGUAGGAUUCAAUAUGCCUUGACCCUGAAGAAUCUGCAGCAAUGGCUGACAAGUCAGGGCAUUCUGACGAGGGCGACAGAGAGUCAACCAAAAUGUUACUUACUCUUACUAGGUUGGUGCAAAAGUGAUUACAUUAAAAAUAAUGGCCAAAACCAGCAAUCACUUUUGCACCAACCUAAUAUAAUAAAAAGAAUACAUCAAGAGCUGGUGAACAGAAACAUUUACCAGUUUUCACUUCAGAAAAACAGAUUUUCCUCACCCACUUUCCAGAUAAGUCAUUUCACAGACCUGGAGCCCACUCAUUGAACAAGAGAUGGGUAACCUGAGGAAGGAUUUUGCAAUACUACUGCAAGGAUAUAUGAUAAAUAUUCCCCAAAAGGAUCUAAGACUAUUUAUCAGCGUAACUGUGAACCUGCAAAAAGAAAAUCCUCAGACUUUUCAAGAAAUGUUGUAUAUGAGGAACGUGGCUCUGUAUUGAUUCUGAAUCAAGGGACCUGAAAUACCUUUAUUAUGCUCCAGUUAGAAUGGGGGCAUAGAGAAGCCAAGUGAUAGAUGCAAUUUUAGCUCAAGUAUGUCUCAUAAUCGGUUUAGGGGAUCUGUUAGAUCUAACCUUUGGCUAUUUCUCUGGUUUCUGAAUGUGCUGUCGGGAUAUGGAUAGUUACUAACUGGCAGAACCUUCAUAUUUUUCUCCAGCCUACAGAGUAAGAGCCAUCAUGGUAAGACACUUGCAACUGUCCUUCCCCUCAGCCAAGUUAAUAUGUCUAAGUAAUAACACAUAUGGGAGGAAUUGCAGAGAUUAGCAGCACCAUUAAACACUUUAAAAGUGCAGGAGUGGGCUGGGUGCCAUGGCACACACCUGUAAUCCCAGCACUUUGGGAUGCCGGGGUGGGUGGAUCACCCUAGGCCAGGAGUUCGAGACCAGCCUACCCAACGUGGUGAAACCCCAUCUCUACUAAAAAUACAAAAAUUAGCUGGGCUUGGCAGCGUGCACCUAUAAUCCCAGCUACUCAAGAGGCUGAGGCAGGAGAAUUGCUUGAACCCAGGGGGCAGAGGUUGCAGUGAGCCCAGGUCACACCACUAUACUCCAGCCUGGGUGACAGAACGAGAGUCUGUCUCACAAAAAUAAAUAAAUAAAUAAAAAUAAAAAAAAUUAAUAAGUGCAGGAGCAUUGAUAUCCAUUAUAUUCUCAACUAAUUACCCACGUGACCCCUACAGGAACUCUAUGGACCAUGGUAAUGAGGGUGAAUUUAACCAAGUGAUGGCUUAAAUCAGGUCUGCCACAUCAGAUAUGGUGUCUUCUAGAAGAGAACAAGACUGCCUUUGGCACUUGGAAUGCUGCUAUUGAUCUGACUCUCACUCCUCCUCCUUAGAAUACUUCUUAAAUAAACUACCUGAAUGCAAGACUCUGGCGUUUGGAGGACUCAGGCUAAGAUGAUUCUCCAUUGUCAUUGUCUGUGUUACUCCACUUGUUUGGGGGAAUUCUAUCUUCUGUGGCCACGUGAUCUGAAUAGGAACUGCUAUAUUCUUAGAUAACUUUAUCACCUCGGCCACAGAAGUUGGUCAAGGGAUGAACAUGGGACACAAGAUGGGGCAAGUAGGGUGCUUCUCCAGAUUUUCUCUAUUUGGAGCUAUUAGGAAAAAUAGCCUUCCUUUCUAGUUAUAGAAUUGUAAGCAUAUAGGUUUUUAGCCACUUGUAGCAUGUUGUCCACAACUUGAAGAAAUUGGUCUGAGAGAAUAGAGCUGACAUCAGAAAAAAAUUGGAGGGAAGGUAUAAAGUGAUAAUCUCAGAAUGCUCUGCAUCAAUCAUUCAUAAUCUAGCUACAUAUACCCUUUACAGUCAUGCAACAAUAUAUCUUUGUGCGGGUGGCAAUAAGUUUCUGUUCAUGUAGACGUUAGUUUAAACGGAAUUUCUUUCACUUGUAAUUCAAAGGCGUUCAUAGAUAAGAAUUCCUUCAUGGGAAUUAUGUUUUAUUUUUAAAUAAAUUUCAUGUCUAUCCCUUGCUUCCUUGAAAUAAUUUUACUUGUACUUGGUAACUAUAAGUAAAUUUUACUUGAAAAGUAUAGCCAUGUCUGAAAAACAUAAUUAAGAAACAUACAGAGUUGAAGAGCAGUGUGGGCUUUGAUGUCAAAUAGACCUACCAUUUCUAAGUUAUGUGACCUUUGAGCAAGUGACUUAAGCUACCUGAGCCUUCACUCCCUCAUUUGUAUCAUAAGUGCUCAGUGCAGGAAAACAGAAAGCACCUUGGGUAUUUCAAGCAGAAAGAGAUUUAGUACAAGGAAUCAGAUUCUUUAAAAAUUAAUUGCCCAGGAGGAAUAAAAGUUGGGAGGCCAUCAUUCACUGUCACAUUAUAAUGCUGC